rnacentral:hammerhead_ribozyme from 1 species
AUCCAGUUGACCAGUCCGAAAUAGGACGAAACGCGCGUCUUGGAU